AACUCGACUCCAUGAAGUCGGAAUCGCUAGUAAUCGUGGAUCAGAAUGCCACGGUGAAUACGUUCCCGGGCCUUGUACACACCGCCCGUCACACCAUGGGAGUGGGUUGCAAAAGAAGUAGGUAGCUUAACCUUCGGGAGGGCGCUUACCACUUUGUGAUUCAUGACUGGGGUGAAGUCGUAACAAGGUAACCGUAGGGGAACCUGCGGUUGGAUCACCUCCUUA
rnacentral:rRNA from 1 species